GUCAAGGUUCAAGAAGUUAAUCAUGUUCAUGUGAAAUCAGCUAAUUUAUCUACUUAAUAAGCAAUCCUCAUUGAACCAAUAAUUUAUUGCUUAGUCUAGUCUAGAUAUGUGUAUAUAUACAUUCAUCGCUAACCGUCCUACAAAAAUUCUAAUUUCGACUUAUCAAAAGAAGUUCUGAUAUCAUUAUCUACCUAAAUAAUCAAAAAAUAUUGAUCAUGAUCGACUGUUUCAAGCUUAUGGAUCAGUUGUUUAAUGUUUUCAUUCUCCGAAUAAAAUUUCAAAAUUCAGUAAAAUAAGUUUUUUUUAAGAAAUGCGUUUACUUUUAGUAUGUUUAUGCUUUCGAUUCAUAAUUGAAGCAAUAAGCACAGAGAAAGCUCUAGUGUUCAGUUUGUAUCAUAACGGUGAGCUGGAUAUAUCCGAAAAACAAUUUGGAGAUCCCUCUUACCGUUUCUUCGCUUGCGCAGCUUUCACCGAAAAAGAAAAGCAAUUUAAUGAAAAAAAUUCCAUCAGUGGAAAUGGAAUUUUUUCAAGACCUUCAUCCGAAGUUGAAGCAGCAUUCUUUAGUGGAACUUCUAUAAAAGAUCUCUGUGAAAAUCGGUAUCAACCAGCCGUAGUUUAUGAUUCCAUGAAUGAUGAAUAUUUGAUUGGUUACGAGGUUUAUGACAGAACUGGCGAGAAUCUCAGAAUAUGCUCUUUUAAUUCCAAUAUUUAUGGAGCUUUUAAAUCGGUAAAUCCUAAGAAUUACACACUCAGCAAAAAACCUGAAGAUUUUUCUAUCGCAUCCAGAUACACUGAAGGAAAACACACAAAAUUUCGUUUUUACGAUGAUAAUUCAGAAUUGAUUUUUUGUUGGAAAUCAGUAUUAUCGAUUCAUACACCUGCACAUGACAAAAAAUGGGUUCUUUUAAACUAUCAGCCAAUUCAUGAAGUAGAAUUGAAAGGUGAAUGUGACGAUUAUGGUUCAUUGGACGAGGAAUUGGAAUUCAUCUUUUCUGAGCAAAAUCAAGCAGAAAACUUGAAGAAUAUUCCAUCAUUGCUUUCUUUGUCUGGAAAUAGCUCAAAAAUAUCUUGCGGACAGGCAUUCGGUUGCUUGGAAAAAUUCCAAAUAAUACCACUAUGGUAUUUCCCUACAAAUUCAGGAAAAAUUGCAAGUUGCGUUGCAAUGAACAUCGUACCGAUUUGGAAAAGCAUUGCGAAUAAACAAUUGAAAAAAGUUGAUCAAUUUAUUAAAUUCGUUGCAUCCACAUUUCAAGAAGAUGGCAGGUAUCCAUCGACAUACUACAAAUACGAAGUAAAAUUCAUUUUUGGCGUUUCUGAUAUCAUAAAAUCGAGAUACGAAAUCAGUUCUGAUGAACCUCGAGAAAUUUAUGUAACGAACACCGAACGAACUCGAAUGAUCGCGAUUCCUGAAAUAAUCUAUCGUAUUAUCCAGGUCCGUUUUCCAUUUGGAGUAGAAGGCGGAUAUGAGAGUUUAAUAGAAGAACCUGAAUGGUACACGGCGGCGGCUGUUGUCAUAGUACACAACACUCUCAACUCUGGACAUUUCCAAAGGCUUUGUAGUAGAGAAAAUGAAUUAAGUGGUUGGGAUCUGAUCAAGAAUGAAGAUGCUAGAACUGGAGUAACUUAUGUGUGUCCUCUAACAAAGGAGCUUGGUGAAAGAUUAGGGAUUUCCAAAGCCCUAACGAACGAUACAAUAUCUCCUCUACAUUUGGAUAAUGCUCCAGUGGUCGUGAAACGUUUUUCUGUUGAGUUUGAAGAUUUGGUGUGUACAUUAUCGAAAAAGUUUAAAUUCGAAAUGUGAUAAAAUGGGUUUCAUUGAAGUAGAUAACAGAUGUAAUUAGAGUACCUACGUAAUCGAUUAACAUCGACUUUAUGCAUCCAAACAUGAAAAUGGGACUUUACAGCUGUAAUAAUUUCAGCAUAUUUCUAAUUAAUUUUUUCAUCUGAUUUCUGAAAUUUACGAAUUGGUCAAAAAUUUACUUUUGAAUUAGUACUCCUAAAAUUUCUAGGUAACCACCUAAAACGCUCGAGAGGGAGCCUAAUAAGUACUGACCUAAAAUACCAAAAUUAUGGAUUCGUUUUAGCCUCUUCACCUUCAGGGCGAUUAAACAUCACCGAAGGUUAACGUGUGGGAGUGGUUCCAAAACUGCUUUCCAUAGUUCGAAACUCGAAACCAUUUCCACUCGAUUCGGGAAGAAGGGAUCGUUAAUAGGUUAUCUUCCCAAACUUCUGUUUUCUGUACCUAUCAAAGGCCAAUUUGGUGAAGUAUUACUUUUUUGUGUGUGAAAUUUGAGCCCUUUGAGCUUCAAGAAUUCAUAAAAAAUCGGAAAAUGUACCAUGUACUGUGUUUUUACCAGAUUUUUCAACCUCUUUGUUAUCUAGUUCAAAAACUUUUGUGCCAGUAACUUCCUCGAAAGUAAAAUAUAUUUUAUGCAAUCUUUGCUGCAUAGUUUUUUCAAAAUUUUGUUCUUUGUACCUACAUAAUAUGUAGAUAAUAAUUUGUGACUUUUUAAUGUAAAACUUGUUCAUUUCUGAUGUUUUUCAUGACUACCUGUUCAAUUUGUACCCAUUCAAUUAGCUUGAUGUAGUACAUAUACAUCGCUAACCGUACGUAAAUUACAAUUUCAACAUAUCAAAGGAAGUUCUGAUAUCUACCCGAGUAAUCAAAAAAUACUGAUCAUGAUCAACUUAUUUAAGCUUGAUGGAUUAGUUCUUAAAUGUUUUCACAAUUUUAAAUACUCAUCAAUGCUGUCAGUUUAUUCAAAUUCUUCGACAACACUCUCAAAAUUCAGUCAAAUAGAUUUUAAAAUGAGUACACUCUUAGUAUGCUUAUGCUUUCAAUUCAUAAUUGGAGCAAGCACAGAGAAAGCUCUAGUGUUCAAAGUGGAACAUAACGUGCUGGAUGUCUCUGAAGAUAAAUUGAGGGAUAGCUCGUCUCACCGUUUGUUCGCUUGCGCAGCUUUCACCGAAAAAGAGAAGCAAUUUAAUGAAAAAAAUUCUUUCAGUGGAAAUGGCAUUUUUUCAAGACCUUCAUCCGAAGUUAAAGCAGCAUUAUUUAAUGGAACUGCUAUGAAAGAUCUCUGUGAAAAUCCGUAUCAACCAGCAGUAGUUUAUGAUUCCAUGAAUGAUGAAUAUUUGAUUGGUUACGAGGUUUAUGACAGAACUGGCGGGAAUCUCAAAAUCUGCUCUUUUAAUUCCAAUAUUUAUGGAGCUUUGCAAUCGGUAAAUCCUAAAAAUUACACACUCAGCAAAAAACCCGAAGAUUAUUCUAUCGCAGCCAGAUACAGUGAUAGAAGGCACACAAAAUUUCGUUUUUAUGAUGAUCAUUCAGAAUUGGUAUUUUGUUGGGCACCAGUAUUAUCGAUUCAUACACCUGCAUAUGACAAAAAAUGGAUUCAUUUAAGGUACCAGCGGGUUGAUGAUACAAAAGGUGAAUGUAACGAUUACGGUUCAUGGGAUAAGGAAUUGGAAUUCAUCUUUUCUGAGCAAAAUCAAGCAGAAAACUUGAAGGAUAUUCCAUCAUUACUUUCCUUACCUGGAAAUAGCACAGAAAUAUCUUGCGGACAGCCAUUCGGUUGCUUGGAAAAAUACCAAAUAAUGCCAUCAUGGCAUUUCCAUUCAAAUUCAAGCAAAAUUGCAAGUUGCGUUGCAAUGAACAUCAUACCGGUUUGGAAAAGCAUUGCGAAUAAGCAAUUGAAAAAAGUUGAUCGAUUUAUUAAAUUCGUUGCAUCUACAUUUUGUAGAGGUGGCGGGCAUCCAUCGAUAUACCACGAAUAUGAGGUAGAAUUGAUUUUUGGCGUUUUCGAUAUUAUGAAAUCGAGCUACGAAAACAGUUCUGAUGAACCGCGAGAAAUUUAUUUAUCGAACACCGAACGAACUCGAAUGAUGGCGAUUCCAGAAGUAAUCUAUCGAAUUAUCCGGGUUCGUUUUCCAUUAGGAGUAGUAGCAAGUGAUUACUCGAGUGAUCUAGAUAAACUUGAAUGGCACACGACGGCGGCUACUGUAAUAAUACAUAAUAAUCUCAACUCUGGACAUUUCCAAAGGCUUUGUGGUAAAGAAAAUGAAUUAAGUGGUUGGGAUAAGAUCACGAAUGAAGAUGCUAGAACUGGAGUAACUUAUGUGUGUCCUCUAACAAAGGAGCUUGGUGAAAGAUUAGGGAUUCGCAAAAAUCUAACGAACGAUAAAAUAUCUCCUCUACAUGUGGAUAAUGCUCCAGUGGCCGUGAAACGUUAUUCUCUUGAUUUUAAGGAUCUACUGGAUAAAUAUCGAAGUGUCCUCUCCGCAUAUGAAUAAUGCUUCAGUGGCCUUGAAACGUUUUUUUUUGUUGGCGGGUUUGAAGAUCUACUGGAUAAAUAUCUGUUAAAAUCUUUCGAAAUGUAAGAAAAUAGUUCUCAUUGAAGCAGAUAACAGGUGUAACUAUAAUACACGUAAUCAAAUUUGUCGGUUUGCUACUUAUAACUAACGAGAGAAAGCAUCCCAACGGGCACACCAAUUUUUGGAAUGGACAAAAAGGAAUCAAAAAGGACUUCAAAAUUUUAGAUGCUGAGAAAUUCAUUUUUACAUUUUUGCCAAAUUUUUAGAAAAUUUAGAUUUGCUCCAAAAUUAGAAAAAGUCAAAAUGUCAGCAAAUUGAUCUAGAAAGCUGAACUUUGGUUUGUAUCGUAUUUUCGACAUGCCAAGUCCAUUGGUGACUGUUUCGAAUCGUUCUAGAGCCUCCAGCGGAUUUUCGGUUUCCCCAGUUUUUGAAAAAACGCUACAAAUUGGGUGAAAAUGAAAUUCAACAUUUAUAAACUCGAAUGCAUUCGUAUUUGCGAUCAUUUCGAUCGAUUUCAGCACGUAUUAUCAAAAUCGUUUCGUGCUGGUUCAAAUGCAAAAUUUUCUCCAGUGAUUAGGUAGGUAUUAAAAAAAAAAAACAAAAAAAAAUUGUAAUUUGCGAA